AUGGCCCCUCUACUUCCGGGGCACGACCUCGCUCGCGGGGCCGACGGCGACGGGACACGGAGCGCGGAGGCGGGCGGAGGCGGAAGCACUUCCGGAAAACACCAAAAGGCGGAUGGCACCAGUGCAGCAGGAAGGCCCGGAGGACCUGGGGGACCCAGGAUUAGGAGGCUGUGGUGGCUUCUGCGGAGGAUUUGGCAGCAGUCUUAGGUGUCGAGGCUGUGGGGCUCAUGAAGGUAAAGCUGAAGACAGGGAGUGGAUUCCUGUCACCAAGCUGGGCCACCUGGUUAAGGACAUGAGGAUCAAGUCCUUGGAGGAGAUCUACCUGUUCUCCUUGCCCUUUAAGGAGUCUGAGAUCAUUGACUUUUUCCUGGGUGCAUCUCUAAGGAUGAGGUUCUGACAACCAUGCCAGUGCAGAGGCAGACUCAGGCUGGCCAGUGGACCAGGUUCAAGGUAAUUGUCGUUAUUGGGGACUACAAUGGUCACGUUCGUCUUGGUGUUAAGUGCUCCAAGGAGGUUGCCACUGCCAUCCGAGGAACCCUCAUCUUGGCCAAGCUUUCCAUCGUCCCUGUGCAAAGAGGCUGCUGGGAGAAGAUUGGCAAGCCCCACACUGUUCCAUGCAAGGUGACAGGCCGCUGCAGCUCUGUGCUGGUGUGUCUCAUCCCGGCCCCCAGAGGCACUGGCACAGUCUCUGUUCCUGUGCCCAAGAAGCUCCUGAUGAUGGCCGGUAUAGAUGACUGCUACACUUCAGCCAGAGGCUGCACUGCUACCCUGGGCGACUUUGCCAAGGCCACCUUUGAUGCCAUCUCCAAGACCUACAGCUACCUGACCCCCGACCUCUGGAAAGAGACUGUCUUCACCAAGUCUCCUUAUCAGGAAUUCACUGAUCAUCUCGUGAAAACCCACACCAGAGUCUCUGUUCAGAGGACCCAGGCUCCAGCUGUGGCUACCACAUAA